GAUGAACGCUGGCGGCGUGCCUAAUACAUGCAAGUCGAGCGAACAGACGAGGAGCUUGCUCCUCUGACGUUAGCGGCGGACGGGUGAGUAACACGUGGAUAACCUACCUAUAAGACUGGGAUAACUUCGGGAAACCGGAGCUAAUACCGGAUAAUAUAUUGAACCGCAUGGUUCAAUAGUGAAAGACGGUUUUGCUGUCACUUAUAGAUGGAUCCGCGCCGCAUUAGCUAGUUGGUAAGGUAACGGCUUACCAAGGCAACGAUGCGUAGCCGACCUGAGAGGGUGAUCGGCCACACUGGAACUGAGCCACGGUCCAGGCUCCUACGGGAGGCAGCAGUAGGGAAUCUUCCGCAAUGGGCGAAAACCUGACAGAGCAACGCCACGUGAGUGAUGAAGGUCUUCGGAUCGUAAAACUCUGUUAUUAGGGAAGAACAAAUGUGUAAGUAACUAUGCACGUCUUGACGGUACCUAAUCAGAAAGCCACGGCUAACUACGUG
rnacentral:rRNA from 1 species